rnacentral:rRNA from 1 species
UACGGGGGGAGCAAGGCGUUGUUCGGAUUUACUGGGCGUAAAGGGCGCGUAGGCGGUCAGCACAAGUCAGUUGUGAAAUCUCCGGGCUUAACUCGGAAAGGUCAACUGAUACUGUGCGACUAGAGUGCGGAAGGGGCAACUGGAAUUCUCGGUGUAGCGGUGAAAUGCGUAGAUAUCGAGAGGAACACCUGCGGCGAAGGCGGGUUGCUGGGCCGACACUGACGCUGAGACGCGAAAGCGUGGGGAGCGAACAGG